rnacentral:rRNA from 1 species
UUGACCUCGGAUCAGGUAGGGAUACCCGCUGAACUUAAGCAUAUCAAUAAGCGGAGGAAAAGAAACCAACAGGGAUUGCCUCAGUAACGGCGAGUGAAGCGGCAACAGCUCAAAUUUGAAAUCUGGCUCUUUCAGGGUCCGAGUUGUAAUUUGUAGAAGAUGCUUUGGGUGUGGCUCCGGUCUAAGUUCCUUGGAACAGGACGUCAUAGAGGGUGAGAAUCCCGUAUGUGACUGGCUGCCUUCGCCUAUGUAAAGCUCUUUCGACGAGUCGAGUUGUUUGGGAAUGCAGCUCAAAAUGGGUGGUAAAUUUCAUCUAAAGCUAAAUAUUGGCCAGAGACCGAUAGCGCACAAGUAGAGUGAUCGAAAGAUGAAAAGCACUUUGGAAAGAGAGUUAAACAGUACGUGAAAUUGUUGAAAGGGAAGCGCUUGCAACCAGACUUGCACGCGGUUAAUCAUCUGGUGUUCUCACCGGUGCACUUGACCGUGUUCAGGCCAGCAUCGGUUCAGGUGGCGGGAUAAAGGCCUUGGGAAUGUAGCUUCUUUCGGGGAGUGUUAUAGCCCUCGGUGCAAUGCCGCCUACCUGGACCGAGGACCGCGCUUCGGCUAGGA